rnacentral:rRNA from 1 species
AUUGAACGCUGGCGGCAGGCCUAACACAUGCAAGUCGAACGGUAACAGGAAGAAGCUUGCUUCUUUGCUGACGAGUGGCGGACGGGUGAGUAAUGUCUGGGAAACUGCCUGAUGGAGGGGGAUAACUACUGGAAACGGUAGCUAAUACCGCAUAACGUCACAAGACCAAAAAGGGGGACCUUCGGGCCUCUUGCCAUCGGAUGUGCCCAGAUGGGAUUAGCUAGUAGGUGGGGUAACGGCUCACCUAGGCGACGAUCCCUAGCUGGUCUGAGAGGAUGACCAGCCACACUGGAACUGAGACACGGUCCAGACUCCUACGGGAGGCAGCAGUGGGAAUAUUGCACAAUGGGCGCAAGCCUGAUGCAGCCAUGCCGCGUGUAUGAAGAAGGCCUUCGGGUUGUAAAGUACUUUCAGCGGGGAGGAAGGGAGUAAAGUUAAUACCUUUGCUCAUUGACGUUACCCGCAGAAGAAGCACCGGCUAACUCCGUG